UACGUAGGGGGCAAGCGUUGUCCGGAAUUAUUGGGCGUAAAGAGCGCGUAGGCGGUCCGAUAAGUCGGCUGUGAAAGUCAAGGGCUCAACCCUUGAAAGCCGGCCGAUACUGUCGGACUAGAGUCCGGAAGAGGCGAGUGGAAUUCCCGGUGUAGCGGUGAAAUGCGCAGAUAUCGGGAGGAACACCAAUGGCGAAGGCAGCUUGCUGGGACGGUACUGACGCUGAGACGCGAAAGCGUGGGGAGCGAACAGG
rnacentral:rRNA from 1 species